CCGUGAAAUAUCGAUAGGCAUCCGUGCUUUUAAAAGCUUUCAGACUUUCCCCGGUGUACGAAGACGGGUUGUGUAUCAGAUAUAUGUAUAAGUCGUGGAAGGAAAAAUCUGGAAGCCUGUCAGUUGAUGAAAGGUGUUGAAAACAGUCUGCAGGAACUUCGUAUGGAUCGCAUCCAAUAACAGCGAUUUUUUUCGUUGUAUCGUUUAAGUUUGUGGGGAUUUAAAUGAGAACGAUCCAUUCUGGUCUGAGAGAAAGCGCCACGGAGCUUAGCGUUCGGUACUCAACAUGGCGGUAGCAAGCGUGAUGACAUCAUCUUCCUGAAACGCAUCUAUUGCUAAUGUGUAACUGGGUUUUGCAAGCAGGUGUCAAGAAAAAGAACAUCCCUGCACCAGAGAGGCCGCAAGUCCCCCAGCCUGCACCAGAGAAAGCAAGUUUUCUCUGAGCCACAUCAUCCAAUAAGGACACCACAAACCAAUCUUCAUACAUGUGGGAGAGACAAGGAUUGUGUAAAGAGAGUCAUGGCUGAAACUAUAACACAUGCUCUGGCCAAGAAUAUCAACAUGCAAGGCAUAAAUGGGAAGAUUGGCUUCCAGCACUUGCAAAUAAAAUAAGUUGUGAUUGCGGCUGUGUGAUGUAAUAACCUGACCUCUGAUGCCAUGGACCAAGAAAGUGAAACAAAAAUAAAAAUAUAGCUUCAAAAUGCACCCGAUCGGUUUGGGUGAAAAACCAGAGAGCUUAAAUACUGAAGGAGGUAGAGCAUGAACCAAUAAACUGAGAGAGGAGCCAAUCAAGAGGAAUAUGAAAAGCUGGUGAUCAGGAAUGCAAGAGAACUGAGGAAGAGUGACUAAUUAACCUGAUGAGCAUGGAGAGCAGGGAGGUGACCAGUACACAAGUAAACAGUGACUAGAAUAAAGAACAUAAACAAGAGGAAAACCGAUCUAUCAGGAUAUAACUAAACACAUCUAACACCGGAACCCAGGAAGCAACAAAACUAAACAGAAGCAAUCUAAAUAAACCAAAACAAACAGAAAAGCACCUGGCUGAGCAGAGAAGGUUUCUACCUGAAGCUUUGUUUACCUUGUUGAGUUUCGGCUUCGUUUCCAGAGAAUCUCUGAGCUUCUGUAUUAUUAACUACUGAGUUAAGGAACUACCUUCUUGUGGAUUUCUCUCACUACCGUCUGAACCUUUCGGACACGGACCGAGCUGGCGGCUUCCCGUUUCCUUCGACUCCAAUACCCAGGCAUCAGCAGACCCUGCUUCUUCCUUCUUCUCGAACAUCGGCACCUGAGCUCCCUUUUGCUGGCACCAAGCUCACAACAGAAAAGACAACUGGACAAUUCCCCUUCCCAAGUUAAGACUCUGAAUCUCUCUGCCCCUGGCGGUUCUUGCUACAACAAUUUAGUAAGUCAUUUCUCAGAUCUAAGUAAUCAGUUGCCUCAUAUCAUUCGCUUGUUCACCAAUCCAUUCUGCUUCCUUCCCUUACAGUUGGUGUUCCCAGUUCCUGUCCUAAGAUUACUUUAUUGACAAUAAAAACUAUAAACCUUU